AUAGACACACUGGCCUUCCAUUAAGCUGGAAGUUCGGCUUUAGCUUGGAGUAACUGACCUUGGGGCCUCUGCUCCCUGAUCACAUAGUUUUGAACCACUACUGACAAUUUAUUUAUUUAUUUAUUUUUGGUACUGGGGACUGAACUCAGAGGUACUUCCCCACUGAGCCACAACCCUACUUCUUUAAAAGAAUUUUUUUUUUUUCUUUUUUGGUGGUGCUAGGGAUUGUACCCAGGCCCUUCUGCAUGCUAGGCAAGCACUCUAUAUCCCCAGCCCCUCCUUUUUUACAUUUUUGAGACAGGGUCUUGCUAAAUUGGUUAGGGCCUCACUAAAUUGUUGAGGCUGGCCUUGAAUUUGCAAUCCUCCUGUCUCAGUAUCCGGAGUUGCUGUGAUUACAACUAUGCACCACUGUGCCCCCUGCACUACUGACAACUUUAAAUGACAGAAACACAAAUGUUUAAGAAUCUGGUAAAAUUACUCAAAUCUAGUGUUCACAUGUAAAGAAAGCAAGAAAAAUGUAAGACACUUUUGUAACCCACAAGUAUUACUUUCAGAAAAUGAAGAUGUAAGUUAAUGAUUUCCACAGCAAGAAAUGGUUUGCUAAACUAUCAAUCAUACUUGAACACAGCUAGGUGUUGGGGCUGGGGGUGUAGCUGAAUACCUGCUUGGCAUGUGGGAGGCCCUAGGUUCCCCAGGACCCAAUAAAUAUAUGAAUAAAAUAAAAUAACAGAUCUCAG
rnacentral:lncRNA from 1 species